AUGGCAUCCACCUCCGGGUCGUGCUGCAUCACCUCACACACGAGCACUUCUCUGCCACAAGUGCUCCCGACCGAGACCUUUGUGCUGCUAUGUUUUGGACAUGCCAAGUCCCUCGAAGACCACGGAUGCCUGGUACGACUACACGACCUGAACACAAGUUCCACGACAACCUUGUACCACUGCCGUCGCAAGAACCAAAGUAACGACGUCGACGACCCUCAAGUUCGACUACACGGUGAUGCGUCAAGUACCUCCACCACGUCUCCGGAAUUGCAAAGAACGACAAGUACCCCGAGAACAUGUACUUCUACACCGCCAAGACCGGACCGACAAGUAGCCCGACGUCGUGUGUACCACUACCGUCGACCCUCGAAGACUCCGUGA
rnacentral:rRNA from 1 species